GACGAACGCUGGCGGCGUGCUUAACACAUGCAAGUCGAACGGAAAGUCCCUGCUUUUGUGGGGUGCUCGAGUGGCGAACGGGUGAGUAACACGUGAGUAACCUGCCCUUGACUUUGGGAUAACUUCAGGAAACUGGGGCUAAUACCGGAUAGGAGCUCCUGCUGCAUGGUGGGGGUUGGAAAGUUUCGGCAGUUGGGGAUGGACUGGCGGCUUAUCAGCUGGUUGGUGGGGUAGUGGCUUACCAAGGCUUUGACGGGUAGCCGGGCUGAGAGGGUGACCGGCUGCAUUGGGAAGGAGACACGGCCCGAAAUCGUACGGGAGGAAGCAGUGGGGGAUCUGGCGGAACGGGCGAAAGGAUUACGCAGCCAUGCCGCGUGAAUGAUGAGGGUAUUAGGAUUGUAAAGUUCUUUCACCGGGGAAGAUAAUGACGGUACCGGGAGAAGAAGCCCGGGCUAACUUCGUG
rnacentral:rRNA from 1 species